rnacentral:rRNA from 1 species
CCUACGGGGUGCAGCAGUGGGGAAUAUUGGGCAAUGGGCGCAAGCCUGACCCAGCAACGCCGCGUGAAGGCAGAAGGCUUUCGGGUUGUAAACUUCUUUUCUCAGGGACGAAGCAAGUGACGGUACCUGAGGAAUAAGCCACGGCUAACUACGUGCCAGCAGCCGCGGGAAUACGUAGGUGGCAAGCGUUAUCCGGAUUUACUGGGUGUAAAGGGCGUGUAGGCGGGAAAGCAAGUCAGAUGUGAAAACCAUGGGCUCAACCUGUGGCCUGCAUUUGAAACUGUUUUUCUUGAGUACUGGAGAGGCAGACGGAAUUCCUAGUGUAGCGGUGAAAUGCGUAGAUAUUAGGAGGAACACCAGUGGCGAAGGCGGUCUGCUGGACAGCAACUGACGCUGAGGCGCGAAAGCGUGGGGAGCAAACAGGAUUAGAUACCCUGGUAGUC